GCCUAGACACUGAGCCAGCAGGGGUGGCAGUGCAGCCAAAGCUGGAGUGCAGAGCCUUGUUCCCAACGCUCUCACAACAGGACUUGCAAGUUCUGCACUGCAUUGGAAAUGUUGCAUCCCCAGGCUUGGAUAUGUCUCUGACCCAAGAGAGGUGCUCAGAGGAGAGAAGGAAGCUUAAUGAGACUCAGUGCCUAGUCUGAGAUCAGCACAAGCCAUAACAUAGUGGAAGUCUUUUUUAAUUUCUGCCAUCACCCUUUACUGCCACAAGAGCAGACUCC